UCUUCCGGACCGAAACGCGCAGCCGCACUUCUCUGUUCCGGCAGGUGGAAUAGGCCCCCGACCUGGGAUCUCUACCCAAAAGGAGGAGGUUAGAACACAGGUGUCCUAUUCCGUUGAGUCCUCCAUCAUUUACUAGACAAAGCCGCGCAAUUAGAAUAACAAAAUGCAGUCGGGAGAAAUCGCUAACCUCUGUAAUCCCAGCAUUUUGAGAGGCUGAGGCUAGAGGAUCGCUUGAGUCCAGGAGUUCAAGCCUGCAGUGUGCUAUGAUCGGACCAUUGCACUUCAGCCUGGGCGACAGAGUGAGACCCUGUCUUUAAUAAUAAUAAUAAUAAUAAAUCCAAAACAUCAAGAAAUUGGGUGUGUCUUUUUAAAAUACACUUAGAAAGGGAACAGUUAGAAUCUUAAUUUCAGGGAUACUUUACUCCUAAACCUAUUCUUUUUGUUUAUGCAGAGAUUGACCAUGCCUACAGGGACAACUGGAAAACAGAAAUGAAACCAUAUAAGCCAAGCACUCAGGCAAUCUUUGUCCUCCCAGUUGACUUAAGAACGCUUGCGAAGAAAAUGUGGCCUCUUUAGAUCUCAGUUCCGCCCCUCUGUGCCUCUCCGGCAGAGGGCGCCUUUUCCACUGGGUCUCCCUGUGGUCUGCUGGGAGUUUUAUUCGGUUUGGACCGGGAAGGAGCUGUGUUGGAUCCGCGCCCCUUGCCAGGGCGCCGCCUUUGGCCCGGUGAGUCCUGGCCCAUCCCGUGCAGAAUCAAUCGGGGCUCCUCCCGCGCCUGCUCCCCAGGGGCUGAAUCCGCCCUUCCGGGGACCAGGUGCCCGUGAGAUCCCAGGCGCUCCACCAGGAGGCCCUGCCUGGAUCGAAACUGGCACGCGCCCAGCCCUCUUGUUACCAGUUCUCUCUGGGCUUGUGGAAAGAGUUCCCCAACCUGGGAUCUAUACCCAGGAGGAGGUUAGGACACAGGUGUCCUAUUCCCUUGAAUCCUCCAUCUUCUUCUACUCUCUGUUAUUCUCCUCUUUUGUUAGUUUGAUGGUGCCCAGUAAAAUAAAGCAAAAGAAUACAAGUGAUUUUCAGUAUAACUGAUACUACUAGAGGAAAAGUCAGCAAGGAAACAUUCUAGAGAAACUGGUCCUGUGCAGAAUAGCACAAUUUUUAAAAAAUGACAAUAAGACAAGGAUAAAUUCCUACUUGAUUUUAACGGUACAUCCUUUAUUAUUAGGUAAAAUGAGAAUUAAAACAUUGCAUCUUGCCUGUCUUUAAAGAAAAGAGAGAACUAGCACUUAUUCUAGUACAGGGUUUUUGGUCUGUUUUGUUUUGUUUGGUUUUGUUUUUUGAGACGGGGUUUCGCUCUUGUUGCCCAGGCUGGAGGGCAGUGGCGCGAUCUCGGCUCACUGCGUCCUCCGCCUCCUGGGUUCAAGUUGUUCUCCUGCCUCAGUCUCCCUAGUAGCUGGCAUUACAGGCAUGUGCCACCACGUCUGACUAAUUUUUGGAUCUUUAGUAGGGACGGGUUCCACCAUGUUGGUCAGGCUGGUCUCGAACUCCUGACCUCAGGUGAUCCACCUGCCUCGGCCUCCCAAAGUGCUGGGAUUACAGGCAUGAGCCACCACUCCCAGCCUUUUUGUUUGUUUUGUUUUUGUUUUUGUUUUCGAGACGGAGUCUCGCUCUGUCGCCCAGGCUGGAGUGCAGUGGCGCUAUCUCGGCUCGCUGUAACCUCCACUUCCCGGGUUCAAGAGAUUCUCCUGCAUCAGCCUCCAGAGUAGCUGGGAUUACAGGCACUCGCCACCACGCCCACCAACCUUCCCCUUCUUGCUGCAAUCUCACCAAGACCGCUCUUCUCUCCUGAAUAGCUGUGGUCUGCCCUUUUCUUGGAUUCCUUAAGAUCGGCAAGGAGCGGGGAGAGAAAGCGUAGCUAGCCAAUAAGGAAACACGAACUGAGAAGUAUUUCUGAAACAUCACUCCUGUCAGCGUUAUUAGAGUACUGAUGGCCCAUAUUAUGGUGUCGCUGGUUGUAUGUCUUCCCCGGCCCAGUGUCCAGUGCACCCUGAGGACAGGACUGCUUUUACUCUACCUUUGAAUCCUCAAAAGGUACAGCGCCCAGCCCAGUGCUUGACACAGAGUCUAUUGAUGAUUGAUAAAUAAUAAUCUACGUCAAAAUUUGGAUGAGGGUUCUCAUCUUUGUGUCCUUACUUUUAUUUGAAUUUGACCUUAUAAUUGGAAGUGCAGGGGACAAAUAUUUGCUACUAUGUUGAAAAUCUUAAUACUACAACCCUACUCAUUGACACAAAUAUUAGUAAGACUAUGCUAGCUAAAGCAUCUGACUACAUGUUGAUUGCUAUCAGGAUAGUGAUGGAGUAUUUUUGCUUUCUAAAAAAUUUAAAGCUUUCCAGAGAAAUCUGUCAAAAUAAUUAUUGCAUCCUAACACCUUUUAUUUUUGUGGGGGAGGGAUGCCUAAAACAUCAGAAAUUUAUUGUCUUACAGUUAUAGAGACCAUAAGUCUGAAAUAAAGGUAUCAGCAGGGACAUGCUCUCUUAAAGGCCCUAGGGAAGGAUCCUUCCUUCCUUCUUCAGGCUACCGGUGUUUGCUGUCAGUCCUUGCCAUUCCUUGACCAUAACUUCAAUCUAUGCCUCCUUCUUCACAUAGCCUUCUCCCCUCUACUUGUGUGUCCAGAUCUCUAGGUGUGUAAGGACACCAACCAUUGAAUUAUGGCCCACCCUAAUCCAGCCCCACUUCACUUUAACCUGCUUAUACCUGCAAAGACUUUAUUUUUAAAUAAGGUUACAUGCACAGGUCUGGGUAGACACAGAUUUUGGAGGAAUACCACUCAACCGAGUACAACAAUUAUAUUUGGAGAUUUUAACACUCCAGUUUCAGUAAUCAAGAAAAUAGACAAAAAUCAGUAAAGAUAUAUCAACCAACUUGAUCUAAUUGACAUAUACAGAACACUAUAACCAACAGUGGCAGAACAGCCUUUUUAAGUGCAUCCAAAACAUUCAACUAAAAGGGCUAUAUAAAAACCAAAUUACAAUCAAUUCCACAGGAUUGAAAUCAUGCACGGUAUGUUUUCUGAGAAUAACAGAAAGAAAACAGAAAACACAAACAAAAAGAAAUAUAUAAAAACUCAAAAUACUUGAAAAUCAUGAAAAAACCUAAUAAGACAUUUCUAAGAACUUUGGAAUUAUACAACAAACUUCUCAAUUUGUCCUGUAUGCAAAGAAGACAUCAAAAGUAAAAUUAGAAACAUGUUGAUCUGAAUGUGACUGAAGACAAUGAAUGUAAUAUCUGUUUUUAUAAACAUGUCUGAAAAAUGGCAUGUCAUGAAUGCUAGAAGUCAAAAACUGUUGAAGGGAUGAGGGUAUGAUGGUGUCAUACAACUGCAGUUAGAUAACCUACCUUUAGGUCAGUUGCUUGUUUUAGACACAUUCUUAUUUCAUUAAUAUAUUGAUUCCUAAAACUCAGUACAUCUACCUGCCUUCUAUGGAAGUAAACAAUCCUUAGACGCAACCAAGAUUUCUGAGCUUUCAACUACUUGAGGAGAUUUUAAAGGAAGUUUUUAAAAAAUUAAAUAUAUGUAUAUCCUAUAGCAUAUACAGUGCAUACAUACAUAUCUAUGAACAUGUAUCUAUAUCAGUUUGUCACAGG
rnacentral:lncRNA from 1 species